CGUAGGGUGCGAGCGUUGUCCGGAAUUAUUGGGCGUAAAGAGCUCGUAGGCGGUUUGUCGCGUCGACUGUGAAAACUGGGGGCUUAACUCUCAGCUUGCAGUCGAUACGGGCAGACUUGAGUUCGGUAGGGGAGACUGGAAUUCCUGGUGUAGCGGUGAAAUGCGCAGAUAUCAGGAGGAACACCGGUGGCGAAGGCGGGUCUCUGGGCCGAUACUGACGCUGAGGAGCGAAAGCGUGGGGAGCGAACAGGAUUAGAUACCCUGGUAGUCCACGCUGUAAACGUUGGGCGCUAGGUGUGGGGGACAUUCACGUUCUCCGUGCCGUAGCUAACGCAUUAAGCGCCCCGCCUGGGGAGUACGGCCGCAAGGCUA
rnacentral:rRNA from 1 species